rnacentral:rRNA from 1 species
UACAGAGGUCUCAAGCGUUGUUCGGAUUCAUUGGGCGUAAAGGGCGCGUAGGCUGCGGGGCAAGCUCGGGUGUGAAAUCUUCGGGCUCAACUCGAAGUCUGCACGAGAAACUAUCUGGCUUGAGUGUGGGAGAGGUGAGUGGAAUUCCUGGUGUAGCGGUGAAAUGCGUAGAUAUCAGGAGGAACACCUGUGGCGAAAGCGGCUCACUGGACCACAACUGACGCUGAGGCGCGAAAGCGUAGGGGAGCAAACAGG